CAAAGAGAAUGCAGGAUCUUCACUCCAGAUCAUGCAUGCUCACCACAAUUGGUAGGACCAGAGUGAGUAUCUGACCCACAAACAGCUCUCCAUGGCCACUGUUUUCAAACUUUAAGAUCCAUAGAAAUCACUUGGGAAUAAAAUCAUCUGGGGAGUUUGGGUAAGAUGUCUCAGGAGCCACCCACGGGAAUUCUGCUCCAUCAAGUCUGAAGGGCGCCUCAGGAAUCUGCCCAGAUGGUUUCUCAGCCUCCCUUGGGGAAACUUAUCUCAGGUCUAACCAGGGGCCAAUGACUGUAGAAGUUCUGCCCUACGUGGAGACUCAGUGCUGGAGGGUGAUCAGCUGAACCAAUUGCUGCACUGAAGGGGAACAGACUGAAGAGUGCUGAUUUGCCUCUUCUGGGGAGCAUGGACAGAGACACACUCAUGUUACUCACUUACUAGAAGUUUAUUUUAAAAAUUCACAGAGAAGUAAGGAAACCAUCUGAGCUGCAGAAACCAUCUGAGCUGCAGAGUCAAGCCCCAUGGAGUACACGAUAUUGUUCCACCACUGGAACGUUUUUCACUCUUGUCUAAUCUGUCCAUAAGCCUUGGACUUCUGUGUUUCUGCCUCUUCUGAUUAUGAACACUAUUCUUAUGCCUUACCCUAUCUUACUGCUCUCCAAGAGAAAAGGUCUGAUUGGUUCAGCCAAUCACCUGCCAGAGCACAGUGUUCCUAUGGACAGAGCAUCAACACCUCAGAGGCUGCUGACCAGCCCAUAGCUAGUAGGCUUUGGGUUAAGUUAUUCUGUAUUGCAUCAGCUGUGGCCAGGAUUCCAAGGUCAGGUGAUGCGAAACAUCCCAAGCCGUGGGUCAGGAACCUCGCAGAGUAAGGCUAGAGGAUGGUAGGCUCCUGGCAUGGCCAACUGCUACGAUAUCGGGGUGAAGAAAGGUAACCAAAAUAGCCAAAGAGAAAGAAGCCCCAUGAAUAUGAAGAGACAAAUGUCCCAAUAGGAGCAUGAUACUUUGGCUGGUGACAGAUGCUAGACAUGGAGAACAGACCAGCCUAGUGGGUGAGUCUGCAGGUCCUGAGUUCUUAUCCCAGCUCCACCAUUCUCUGGCUGUGUGAUCUUGGGUAAAUUACUCGGCCUCUCUGAACUUGAGCUUCCCAGUCUUUCAACAAAAAUGAUUAUAAUGUCUCACAAAGGGGUUUUGAGAGUUAAAUGAAAUACUGAGGAUAAAGUCUUUAGCACAAAGCCUGGAGUAAAAUAAAAGACAAUAUUUAGUUUAAAAGAGAAAAAAAGAAACUUACAGUGAGUUUCUUUUCUCAGAAUACAACCUUGGAGAAGAACAGAACAACAUUGCAAGAGGAAACCCAAAUUCUGCGGAAACAUGAGCUAUUGUUGUUAUUCUCCAAAAUGAAAUGUGUCAACAUUUGGAAGACCUGCGUAACUAAUAUUUUCCCUAUGAUUAAUGUAUGAUGUUACAAAAUCAUGCAGGGGUAAAAGAUCCUUUGAAAGUGUAAGUUGGACCAAUGGAUUAUAUGUAAUCAACUAAGGAAAAGUUCAUUGAUAAGGUUCCAGAUUUUGCAUUGAAACUAACCUUUCAGAAACUGCCACAAGUUUUUGUGUAAUAUCAAAGAAGAAUAUCCAUGACUACCUGAGAUGGCCAUUAAAAUAUUCCCCCUUUUUCCAACUAUGCCUCUGAGUGAGGUCAGAUUUUAUUUAUAUACUUCAACAAAACAUCACAUUGUAAUAGAUUAAAUGAAGAAUCAGAUGAGAAUCAAGCUAUCCUCUAUUAAGCCAGAUGUUGAAGAGAUAAGCAAACAUAAAAUAAUGCCAUUUUCUGAAUAUAUUUUUUUAAUUUUGAAACAUUUUCAUAAGGAAAUGUCAAUUAUGUUCCCAUGUCAUGGGUGUAUUUUUGUUACUUUCAUAUGAAUUAAAGCGAUAACUUUAAAUUUUAUGUUUUAACUUCUUAUUUGGUAAAUAUCACUAGAUGGAAUCUACAUGAAUGAAAUCUAUGUGUAGUUCUCAAUCAUCUUUUUAAGAGGGUAAAGAGGUCUAAGACCAAGAAGCUUUAGAACCACUGCUGUAAAUGUUUGAGAGAGAGAUGGAGAGCAAAAGAGGGUAAAGAGAAGUUCCCGUGCUAAGCAUAGGAAGUGACAGGCCUGUUGUGUGCUCUGUUCCUCAGCUCACACCAGGAACACUCUGGAGUUCCCUGUCCAACACAGAGCCCCACAUCUUAGCAGGGAUACUGACAAACUGAACAUUAUUCCAAAAAGGGUAACUGGAGGAUAAAAAUUAUGUCCCCGGAGGAACAAUGGAAAUAAGUAGAUAAACACCCUGAGGCCGGGCGCGGUAGCUAACGCCUGUAAUCCCAGCACUUUGGGAGGCCAAGGCAGGCAGAUCACUUGGGGUCAGGAGUCCCAGACCAGCCUGAUCAACAUGGAGAAACCCUAUCUCUACUAAAAAAUACAAAAAUUAGCCAGGGGUGAUGGCAUGCACCUGUAAUCCCAGAUACUAGGGAGGCUGAGGCAGCAGAAUCGCUUAAACCUGGGAGGCGGAGGUUGAUGUGAGCCAAUAUCAUGCCACUGCACUCCAGUCUGGGUGACAGAGUGAGACUCUGUCUCAAAAAAUAAAUAAGUAGGCCUGGCGCAGUGGCUCAUGCCUGUAAUCCCAGCACUUUGGAAGGCUGAGGUGGGCGGAGCACGAGGUCAGGAGAUCGAGACCAUCCUGGCUAACACAGUGAAACCCCAUCUCUACUAAAAAUACAAAAUGUUAGCUGGGUGUGGUGGUGGGUGCCUGUAAUCCCAGCUAUUCGGGAGGCUGAAGCAGGAAAAUCGCUUGUACAUGGGAGGUGGAGGUUGCAGUGAGCCGAGAUCACGCCACUGCACUCCAGGCUGGGCAACAGAGCAAGACUCUGUCUCAAAUAAAUAAAUAAAUAAAUGAAAAUAAAUAAAUAGGCACAUAUGUACCAUGGAAUACUAUGUAGCCAUAAAAAAAGAAUAAGUUGAUGUCCUUUGCAGGGACACGAAUGAAGCCGGAAAUCAUCAUUCUCAGCAAACUAACAGAGGAACAGAAAACCAAACACCGCAUGCUCUCACUCAUAAGUGGGAGUUGAACAGUGAGAACACAUGGACACAGGAAGAGGAACAUCACACACCAGGGCCUGUCGGGGAGUGAGCGGAAAGGGGAAGGAGAGCAUUAGGACAAAUACCUAAUGCAUUUGGGGCUUAAAACUUAGAUGAUGGGUUUAUAGGUGCAGCAAACCACCAUGGCACAUGUAUACCUAUGUAACAAACCUGUAUGUUCUGCACAUGUAUCCCAGAAAUUAAGGUAAAAUUUAAAAAUAAAUAAAUAAAUAAACUUACUCUGGGAACAAAAAGGCAAAACUAAAAAUAAAAUAAAA
rnacentral:lncRNA from 10 species